CGGUGAUCUUGGAGGUCUCUUCCAACCUAGACUAUUCUGUCUGAUGAAACUAUGUGCAUCACUUGACCCACGCCUUAAAUACAGCCACCUUUCAGGUGAAGCACAGGUGCACCAGGACAUUCUACACCUGUUUUGUUGGAA